GACAGAGGGUGCAAACGUUGUUCGGAAUUACUGGGCGUAAAGCGUGUGUAGGCGGCUAGGUAAGUCGGAUGUGAAAGCGCCGGGCUCAACUCGGGAAGUGCACUCGAUACUGCUUAGCUCGAGUACCGGAGAGGUUGGUGGAAUUCUCGGUGUAGAGGUGAAAUUCGUAGAUAUCGAGAGGAACACCGGUGGCGAAGGCGGCCAACUGGACGAGUACUGACGCUGAGACACGAAAGCGUGGGGAGCAAACAGG
rnacentral:rRNA from 1 species